rnacentral:rRNA from 1 species
UUAAAACUUUCAACAACGGAUCUCUUGGUUCCGGCAUCGAUGAAGAACGCAGCGAAAUGCGAUACGUAAUGUGAAUUGCAAAUUCAGUGAAUCAUCGAGUCUUUGAACGCACAUUGCGCCCCCUGGUAUUCCGGGGGGCAUGCCUGUCCGAGCGUCAUU